ACUUGAUUUAGAAUCAAGGAGAGGUUAGGA
rnacentral:piRNA from 1 species